GGGAUGGAGAAUCCACCAUGGCACUACGUAACCUGUUUCAGUGCUUCACCACCCUCACCGUAAAAGACUUUUUCCUUACAUCUAACCUAAACCUACCCUCUUUAAGCUUGAAGCCAUUUCCCCCUUGUUCUGUCACCACAGACCCUACCAAAGAGUCUGUCCCCUUCUUUCCUGUAGCUCCCCAAAGAUACUGAAAGACCGCUAUCAGGCUCCCUCAGAGCCUUUUCUUCUCCAAGCUGAACAACCCCAGCUCUCUGUCUGUCCUUAUAGGGGAGGUGUUCCGUUCUGUGGACCAUUUUUGUGGCCCUCCUCUGGAUGCGCUCCAGCAGGUCUAUGUCUCUCCUGUACUGAGGAAUCCACAUCUGGAUGCAGUAUUCCAGUUUCUGUGGAAAGAUUCCAGCUUUGGUGCAUCCUACACAUAUGCAGCCCAAGAUGAAUCCUCUUCAAUUAGUGCAGCCCAAGGAAAGUCCAAUCAAAGAGAUUAGACACCGAUGUCUAGCUGAGCAUUGGAAGGACAGGGGGCCAGAGAGAGUUGGUUGACAGUGAAGCAUCACUUCUUCCAAGCUCUGGAUUGGUGCAUCCCUAAGAAUAAAGAAAUAGAGCAAAAAUGGCAGGAGACCUGCAUGGAUGAACUCAAAGGGCAGAAGAAAGUCUAGAAAAAGUGCAAGGCUACCACCCAUUUCUAAUUAAAUCAGGUGAGAUCAAGGAUAACAAGAAAGGCUUCUUCAAGUACAUCAACAGCAAAUGAAAGACUGAGUAUUUGCUCUAUCAAAUAGUGUUAUUAUGCUUUUUUUAUUUCUAUUUAUUUCCAAAUAUAAUAGAAGGUAUUACUUUUGGAGCAGCCUAUGUACAUAGGUAAAGAGACAAAGACAUACCUGGGAAUAUUCAUAGGUAUUCAGUCCAACAAACAUGAAAGGGCUUGUAUCUUUGCUAACUAAUUCUUUCAUACUCCAAAUAGGCUGGCUGCGCAUAAACUGCUCCUAGACACAUGUCAGCUCUGGAAGGUCCAGAAGUCCUCAGACAUGCACUACUUGGUACAGGCUGG
ensembl:lncRNA